GCAAACGUUGUUCGGAAUUACUGGGCGUAAAGCGUGUGUAGGCGGCUUCGCAAGUCGGAUGUGAAAGCCCCGGGCUCAACCCGGGAAGUGCACUCGAUACUGCGAAGCUUGAGUGUCGGAGAGGUUGGUGGAAUUCUCGGUGUAGAGGUGAAAUUCGUAGAUAUCGAGAGGAACACCGGUGGCGAAGGCGGCCAACUGGACGAACACUGACGCUGAGACACGAAAGCGUGGGGAGCAAACAGG
rnacentral:rRNA from 1 species